CAGAACGUGAGUGGGGGAAGAGCAGAGAGAGAGGGAGACACAGAAUCGGAAGCAGGCUCCAGGCUCCAAGCUGUCAGCACAGAGCCUGAUGUGGGGCUUGAACCCAUGAACCAUGAGAUCAUGACCUGAGCUGAAGUUGGACGCUUAACCUACUGAGCCACCCAGGUACCCCUAUUUUAAGGCAGCCCUUAAGAUUUUAUUUUUAAGUAAUCUCUAUACCCACCGUGAGGCUCAAACUUACAACCCCUAGAUCAAGAGUCCCAUGCUCCACCAACUGAGCCGCUCAGAGGCGCCUAUUUUGGAGGAAUUCUUAAUGAGGUGCAGCUGGCAUAUCAGAGUUACAGAUACAUUUGAGUGAAAAUUGUUGGAGUAGGUAAACUCUAAAAUAGUCUAUACCAGUGUAUUCUGAAUAACCUCUCUAGAAAAGAAUCCUACCAAUUCAGAACACAAGUCUGAAAGGAUGAAUCCCAUAUUGUUAGCAAUUAGCUAUUGUCAGUGUUUUCUGUGAGGAGAUUUGGGGACUCUGCCAUGCUUACAGUCAGAAACACUGGAAAACAACAAAAAAUUGCUGUCAAAAACCAUAGAAUUUCUCUAAUGAUAUUUAAAUAAGUUUUGAUUACAUAUACUUAAGUCUUCAGAAUCAUUCCUUUACAUGAAGAAUUAUUAUAAAGGGGAGAUAGCGGAAGCCAAGGAAUCCAUGGCCGUAUUAAAUAAAGCCUAAUACCUAUGUCAGAAGCGAGUGUGGUACAUUCUUCAAGAAUAUUCUUACUCAGCAGAUCCUUUCUACUUAUCUUUCACCGAAGUAAGUUACAGGUUCAUGAAGGUUUACGUUGAAAGUAUGGAAUCAUAAAGUACUAGAGGAAGACUUGGAGAAUGUUUUUGUUUUGUUUGUUUUUAAAGAUUUUGUUUUUAAGUAAUCUCUACAUCCAAUGGGGGGCUGGAACUCCCAAUCCCAAGAUCAAGAGUCACAUGCUCUUCCAACUGAACCAGCUGGACUCUGCUGUUUGUUUGUUUUUUUUUGUUUUCAGGGGAAGACCCGUUGAGUGUGACACAAAUCCUGGAAGUCCUAAAAGAAUAGAUAAGUUUGACUGCAUAAAUAUAAAGUAUUUCUGUGUGGGGGAAAAAAUCCCUUAAGCAAAGUCAAAAGACAAGUAAGAAACCAGGAAAAAAAAUUUGUAAUUUCUAUCAAAACUGAGGGCUAAUAGGGGUGCCUGGGUGGCUCAGUCGAUUAACCUUCCGACUUUGGCUCUUCGUCAUGAUCUCUCAGUCCAUGAGUUCAAGCUCUGCGUCAGGCUCUUGCUGACAGCUCAGAGCCUGGAACCCACUUUGGAUUCUGUGUCUUCCUCUCUCUCUGCCCCUCCCCCACUCACACUGUGUCUUUCUCAAAAAAAAAAUAAAGAAAUGAAAAAAAAAACAACUGAGGGCUAAUUUUGUUGAUAAAGUGUAUCUUACAAAUCAAUGAAAAAAAGACCAACAAUCCAGUAAAAAUAUUGGCAAAGUAUGAACAAGUAGGUCACAGAAAAGGAAUUUUUUUUAUGUGUAUCUUUUUCCUUUAUUUUUAAAUUUUAUUUAUUUUUAUUAACUUGUUUUAUUUUUUAUUUUUUUUAAUUUACAUCCAAAUUAGCAUAUAGUGCAACAAUGACUUCAGCAGUAGAUUCCUUAGUGCCCCUUACCCAUUUAGCCCAUCCCCCCUCCCACCAUCCCUCCCUAACCCUCAGUUCUCUGUAUUUAAGAGUCUCUUCUGGUUUGUCCCCCUCCCUGUUUUUAUAUUGUCUUUGCUUCCCUUCCCUUAUGUUCACCUGUUUUGUCUCUUAAACUCCUCAUGUGAGUGAAGUCAUACGAUUUUUGUCUUUCUCUGACUAAUUUCACUUAGCAUAAUACCCUCCAGUUCCAUCCACGUAGUUGCAAAUGGCAAGAUUUCAUUCUUUCUGAUUGCCGAGUAAUACUCCAUUGUAUAUAUAUACCACAUCUUUAUCCGUUCAUCCAUCGAUGGACAUUUGGGCUCUUUCCAUACUUUGACUAUUGUUGAUAGUGCUGCUAUAAACAUGGGGGUGCAUGUGUCCCUUCAAAACAGCGCACCUGUAUCCCUUGGAUAAAUGCCUAGUAGUGCAAUCGCUGGGUCGUAGGGUAGUUCUAUUUUUAGUUUUUUGAGGAACUUCCAUACUGUUUUCCAGAUGGCUGCACCAGCUUGCAUUCCCAAAGGAAUUUUGAACAUAAGACACCCAUCCUCAUUCAUACUAAAAGAAUUGUUAAUUAAAAUGUAAUUUUAAGGGGCGCCUGGGUGGCUCAGUCAAUUGGGCAUCUGACUUCAGCUCAGGUCAUGAUCUCACGGUCCUUGAGUUCGGGCCCCACGUCGGGCUCUGUGCUGACAGCUUGGAGCCUGGAGCCUGCUUCUGACUCUGUGUCUCCCUCUCUGUGACCCUCCCCCAUUCAUGCUCUGUCUCAAAAAUAAAUAAACAUUAAAAAAAAAAAUUUAAAA